AUUUUACCCAGUAAGUAUUAGGAAGUCUGUCUGGAGACGAAAAUAUGUCAUUCCAGCAGUAAAAUACUUUCACUUCACUUUUCAAUUCACUGCUGAUGCAUUUGGACCUGACAGUGUGUCUCGUGUAGGCUGAGCUGCUCUUGACACUGUGGAAGUACAGAGUGGGAACAUUAGACUGCAAACUGAGAAAUCCACUUUUAUCUGUCUCAAGUGUCACAAACAAGACUACACACGUGCCCUUUUCUCUACAGUAGCUCAACCAUCUUAACGGGGAAAUAAGUUAUUUUAAAAGCAGCCGAAGAUUUAAGGCGUGGAUGGCGAGGGGGGCGGCGAGAGUGGACGCACCUCGCAGCAUCGAUCGGACCCCCGAAAGCACCGUCUCCACCUCCCCACCCCCCAUCCACCCGCCCCGACGCCAAACGUUUGACGGCUAUGGCGGCAAAUCACCAGCCGGUCUGCGAGCUGGACGCAUCGGUCUUAAUGUGCCGGUAAUGAUGGUAAAUGAUGCUUGUAGCUGGUUGUCAUCUACGCUCCACUACGGUUACAUAAAGGUGGCGUUUGUGUUUUCACAACGUUUUAUCUCAUCAUUUAGACUUUCUAUCCCCUUUCUUCAGUGCGGAAAUGGGCUUCUAUAGUUGUGUGAAUGCAUCACUCCAGCCAAUCCAAAGACGGGGUUUGUAACCAAUCUGGUGUAGAGACCAUGGUGACUGGCUCCGCCCCCUUACUGUCAGAAAGAACAACAGCGAGCGCGUAGAAAACUCCUUCGAGCGCGAGCAGAGAUUCUCCUCGCGAGCAACAAAGGUCUCGAUUCGCAAGCGACCAAAUAUCUCGCGGAUGUUUCAUUUUGGUUGAAUUCUUAAGGUCAAUUAAUCAUUAUGUUUUGAUCAGAGUUGUGAUUAAAGGUUUGAGUGGGCCGCAAAAGAUUGUCAGAUUUUCAGAUUUCAAAUUGGGCCGCGGCAUUCUUGAGUUUGGGAACCGGAAUAUCCAUAUACUUGAUCCGUCACCCAAACUGAGGUGAAAAGCGCGCUGGUUACUAAAGGAAUAUGUUCUUUCCUUUGCAUUUUGCGUCGCUAGCUCAGGCUCGGUCGGCUCUACCUCCGUCUCUGAGUCGGAUGCCAUCUCUGACGAAGGGCCAGGGCGUGGGACUUUACCGGGAACUGGGGAGACUGGUGGCUCCAUGUCUGGGCGAUUGUCGCAGCAUUGACCGGGGAGAGUGUUGGGGGGAACAGGCCUACUUUUCUUUAAUAACAUCCAUGGCUCCAUUUCUUUUCAUUGUUCCUCGUCUGGUUCGCUGGUGUUCAGGUCACAAUUUCAAUCACACAGCACGGAGCAGCGUAGGCCUACAGGAGUAUCUGGACCACAGCCAAUCAGAGGCAAAGACCCGCCGCAUCUCUGCCUCUGAUUGGUUUAGACCACCAUACGAUCCAAGCAGGAGUGAGUUCCAUCAAAGGAGAACAAAGGCUUCGUUCGUGGAGAGGCAGCGGAUGUGAGGACGGGUGCACCAGAGCAACCUGGGAAACAUUUUAGUCGUACAAAUUCUGGUGAAAUUGGUCCCACUGUGGAGCCCUGUGAGGUGUAGUUAACGGUUAUACAUGAGAUAUAACUAUACUAUGACUGGGUGUGAGUUAGGGCUGCAGCUAACAAUUAUUUUGAUAAUCAAUUAAUCAAUUCUUCCUGAUUAAUCGAUGAAUCUGAUAAAAAGCAGCUUUAAAAAGAUUUAAUUCACAACCCUUUAUUCUAAAACAGAACUGCAAUUUCACAUUGCAAAAAUACUUCAAAACAUCCACAGGUUGCUCCUUGAAAGUAAUAAUUUAUAAAUAAAGAAAAGUACAAAUCAGAAAGUUUAACAGGAUUUGUUGUCAGAACUUGUUCUCUACUCU
ensembl:lncRNA